CAGUCGCCGCGGUAAAACGGAGGGUGCAAGCGUUAAUCGGAAUUACUGGGCGUAAAGCGCACGCAGGCGGUUUGUUAAGUCAGAUGUGAAAUCCCCGGGCUCAACCUGGGAAUGGCAGUGGAUACUGGCUCGCUAGAGUGUGUCAGAGGAUGGUGGAAUUCCCGGUGUAGCGGUGAAAUGCGUAGAGAUCGGGAGGAACAUCAGUGGCGAAGGCGGCCAUCUGGGACAACACUGACGCUGAGGCACGAAAGCGUGGGGAGCAAACAGGAUUAGAUACCCGCGUAGUCCCUGUCUCUUAUAC
rnacentral:rRNA from 1 species